CCGGCGACCGGCGCACGGGUGAGUGACACGUAUCCAACCUGCCGAUGACUCGGGGAUAGCCUUUCGAAAGAAAGAUUAAUACCCGAUGGCAUAGUUCUUCCGCAUGGUAGAACUAUUAAAGAAUUUCGGUCAUCGAUGGGGAUGCGCUCCAUUAGGUUGUUGGCGGGGUAACGGCCCACCAAGCCUUCGAUGGAUAGGGGUUCUGAGAGGAAGGUCCCCCACAUUGGAACUGAGACACGGUCCAA
rnacentral:rRNA from 1 species